rnacentral:rRNA from 1 species
UGGUGGAGCGAUUUGUCUGGUCAAUUCCGAUAACGAACGAGACUCUAGCCUACUAAAAAGUUCGGGGACCCCCACAAAGGGGCCCCGCUUCAACUUCUUAGAGGGACAGGUGGCGUUUAGCCACACGAGAUUGAGCAAUAACA